AUCCAGCAGACUAGUCCCAAAUUGGAUGAAAUGUGCGUCCUGUAU
rnacentral:hammerhead_ribozyme from 1 species